GGCGUCGAUAUACGACGUCAUAAACACCAUCAAGUUUGGUGUUUAUGACGUCGAUAUUCGACGUCAUAAACACCAUCAAAUUUGGUGUUGAUGACGUCGAUAUACGACGUCUUAAACACCAUCAAGUUUGAUGUUUAUGGCGUCGAUAUUCGACGUCAUCAACAUCAUCAAGUUUGGUGUUUAUGACGUCGAUAUUCAACGUCAUAAACACCAUCAAGUUCGGUGUUUAUGACGUCGAUAUACGACGUCAUAAACAACACCAAGUUUGGUGUUGAUGACGUCGUUGUUGGACGUC
rnacentral:miRNA from 1 species